rnacentral:rRNA from 1 species
CCUCCUCUCAUCUGCACUUUGUGAUUUGGCCCUCUUUCUUCUCUUCUUUCUUCACAAGAAGGUCCUCCCACUUCUUUAUCUAGCCCCCUGGUUACUUCUCUUCAUCUCACACAAGUCUCUUCUUCCUUCUCUUCUCUUCUUCACUCUUCUCGAUAGCCACAUAGACGGAAUCUUGACGAUUAUUAGUGCCUUUGCGCACAUUUCUGCAAGAUAGACCAAAGACUAG